rnacentral:rRNA from 1 species
AACGAACGCUGGCGGCGCGCCUAAUACAUGCAAGUCGAGCGAGAAGACGUAGCAAUACGUUUGUAAAGCGGCGAACGGGUGAGGAAUACAUGGGUAACCUACCCUCGAGUGGGGAAUAACUAGCCGAAAGGUUAGCUAAUACCGCGUACGCUCCUUGGACUUCGGUCCAGGGAGGAAAGCGAUACCGUGGGUAUCGCGCUCUUGGAUGGGCUCAUGUCCUAUCAGCUUGUUGGUGAGGAACGGCUCACCAAGGCUUCGACGGGUAGCUGGUCUGAGAGGACGAUCAGCCACACUGGCACUGCGACACGGGCCAGACUCCUACGGGAGGCAGCAGUAAGGAAUAUUGCGCAAUGGGCGAAAGCCUGACGCAGCGACGCCGCGUGGGGGAUGAAGGUCUUCGGAUUGUAAACCCCUUUCGGGUAGGGAAGAUGGAACGAGCAAUCGUUCGGACGGUACCUCCAGAGCAGCCACGGCUAACUUCGUGCCA